rnacentral:lncRNA from 1 species
ACCAGCUUUAUGGGUUGUAGUUUCCUUGGCAGGUGCUCCUUUCCUGACCUGCCUCGCUUAUCAAGGCAUCUACAACCCCCACCUCACCCUUAUCGCUCCCUCCAUCUCCUUAGACUGGAAGUCACUCCACAAGGGCGUCACCCCCAGCGAGGCAGAAAAAUGUCCCACAAGUUGAGCCCUCCCCACUCCCAGUGAGAACAUAAUUCCACUGUAUCUUUUUUUUUUUUUACUUAACUUUUCCUUUUGGCUUUUAAUAAGAAAAAGAUCCAAAUUUUCCCCCUUUUGAAACAUCAAUGAACACUAGCUCCUCUUAGUUUCCUUAUUUAUUUUCCUUUCAAUUCUUGUCCUUCUCUAAAGGUUAUUUUGUCCAUCCCUCAAUCUUGGGAGCAGAUCUCUCUUUCUUACAACAAAAGAAGGGGGCAGUCCCCACUCCUCAAGACCCCCAGAGGGAGAGUCCCAGCGUAUCCUCACGCUGGUCUCUCACACCUUUACAGCCAAAAGAUUCCCAAGAAGCAACAAGGUCUGGAGAGUGGUUUGGAGCUGAGAUCCCAAGUUCAUGGCCAGUUACAGUCUCGCCACUAGCCAUGGGACUUGGGGCCAGCACACCCAAGAAUUCUCACAGACGGAAUUCUUCCUUGUUCUCAUUUACCUGAUAGGUCUAUUGAGUGAAUGCAAUUCAAUAAUAUUGAUGUACCUCUUUGAAAACAAUGAGAACAGAAUUGAACAAUGAGAACACUUGGACACAGGAAGGGGAACAUCACACACCAGGACCUGUCGUGG